rnacentral:tRNA from 1 species
CAAGUGGUAACAAAUUGGUAGGCAUCGGGAUUCUUAGUUUGAAAAUUAUCUUAUAAGAAAAUAAACUGUCAUGUUUAUUUUUAGGUCAAUUCAAAUUUACUACAAAACCCUAUUAUAGUACACCCGAAUGUCGCAGGUUCGAAUCCUGCCCACUUGG